GCUUAGCCCAGAUUGAAGUGGAAAUCCUUUUAUUUCGUCAGUUCGAGUUCGCUUGCAAAGCGAGUAUCGAGAACAAGAAAUAAAAGAUUGUAACGGAAAGCUGGAUUGGCU
rnacentral:sRNA from 1 species